CAAUAGCGUAUAUUAAAGUUGUUGCAGUUAAAAAGCUCGUAGUUGGAUUUCUGGUGGGGAGCGAAUGGCCGGGGGGACUUACGUCUCUCUGCGCCGUCCUCGCUCUUGCCAUCCUUGGAGAAAGCUUCUCUGGCAUUAGGUUGUCGGGGUCGGGGAUCUCCAUCUUUACUGUGAAAAAAUUGAGUGUUCAAAGCAGGCUUACGCCGUUGAAUACAUUAGCAUGGAAUAAUAAGAUACGACCUUGAGUUUUAUUUUGUUGGUUUGCAAACUUUAGGUAAUGAUUAAUAGGGACAGUUGGGGGUAUUCGUAUUCAAUUGUCAGAGGUGAAAUUCUUGGAUUUAUGAAAGACGAACUUCUGCGAAAGCAUUUGCCAAGGAUGUUUUCAUUAAUCAAGAACGAAAGUUGGGGGCUCGAAGAUGAUUAGAU
rnacentral:rRNA from 1 species